rnacentral:lncRNA from 1 species
UUACAAACAUACAUAUGAUUUGACAUUGUGUUCCUGUGUACUUAGGGUUUUCUCACAAACAUGCAAUCGAAGAAAAAAAAUGAUAAUUAGAGUAACUGAUUCGGUAUACAAGACUAAUCGUAAAAAUUAAGGAAACAAAAACCCUAAUAAAAAUGGAGGUUGAAAAGAAAAACAUAAUAAUGAUGAGAAAAAAAAUGCAGUGAGAAAGAAGGAAGAAAAGAAAACAUUAAAGUGUGUGGACAAGACCCGUCAGAGGCACAAACAGCCAAAGACAUCCAAAGACCCCAAC